rnacentral:rRNA from 1 species
GACGAACGCUGGCGGCGCGCUUAACACAUGCAAGUCGAGCGAUGAAACUUUAACAGAACCCUUCGGGGCGAAGAUAAAGUGGAUUAGCGGCGGACGGGUGAGUAACACGUGAGUAACCUGCCUUAGACAUUGGGAUAGCCUCGGGAAACCGGGAUUAAUACCAAAUAAAAUCAUAAUGACACAUGUCAUAACGAUCAAAACUCCGGUGGUCUAAGAUGGACUCGCGUCCCAUUAGCUAGUUGGUAGAGUAAAAGCCUACCAAGGCGACGAUGGGUAGCCGGCCUGAGAGGGUGAACGGCCACAUUGGAACUGAGAAACGGUCCAAACUCCUACGGGAGGCAGCAGUGGGGAAUAUUGCACAAUGGAGGGAACUCUGAUGCAGCGACGCCGCGUGAACGAAGAAGGCUUUCGAGUCGUAAAGUUCUUUUAUAUGGGAAGAUAAUGACGGUACCAUAAGAAAAAGCCCCGGCUAACUACGUGCCAGCAGCCGCGGUAAUACGUAAGGACCGAGCGUUGUCCGGAAUCAUUGGGCGUAAAGGGUACGUAGGCGGUUAACUAAGUUAGAAGUCAAAGGCUAUAGCUCAACUAUAGUAAGCUUUUAAAACUGGUUAACUUGAGAGAUGGAAGGGAAAGUGGAAUUCCUAGUGUAGCGGUGAAAUGCGCAGAUAUUAGGAGGAAUACCGGUGGCGAAGGCGACUUUCUGGCCAUUAUCUGACGCUGAGGUACGAAAGCGUGGGUAGCAAACAGGAUUAGAUACCCUGGUAGUCCACGCCGUAAACGAUGAGUGUUAGGUGUCUGGAGUAAAUCUGGGUGCCGCAGCUAACGCAAUAAACACUCCGCCUGGGGAGUACGCACGCAAGUGUGAAACUCAAAGGAAUUGACGGGGACCCGCACAAGCAGCGGAGCAUGUGGUUUAAUUCGAAGCAACGCGAAGAACCUUACCAAGUCUUGACAUAUUUUGGAAGUAGUUAGAGAUAACUACCUAUAUCUUCGGAUAACUAAAAUACAGGUGGUGCAUGGUUGUCGUCAGCUCGUGUCGUGAGAUGUUGGGUUAAGUCCCAUAACGAGCGCAACCCCUAUGGCUAGUUACCAUCAUUAAGUUGGGGACUCUAGCAAUACUGCCGGUGACAAACCGGAGGAAGGUGGGGAUGACGUCAAAUCAUCAUGCCCUUUAUGACUUGGGCUACACACGUGCUACAAUGGCAGGUACACAGGGCAGCGAAAUUGUGAAAUUAAGCGAACCUCAAAAAGCCUGUCCCAGUUCGGAUUGCACUCUGCAACUCGAGUGCAUGAAGUUGGAGUUGCUAGUAAUCGCAGAUCAGAAUGCUGCGGUGAAUACGUUCCCGGGCCU